GACGAACGCUGGCGGCGUGCUUAACACAUGCAAGUCGAACGGAAAGGCCCUGCUUUUGUGGGGUGCUCGAGUGGCGAACGGGUGAGUAACACGCGAGUAACCUGCCCUUGACUUUGGGAUAACUUCAGGAAACUGGGGCUCAUACCGGAUAGGAGCUCCUGCUGCAUGGUGGGGGUUGGAAAGUUUCGGCGGUUGGGGAUGGACUCGCGGCUUAUCAGCUUGUUGGUGGGGUAGUGGCUUACCAAGGCUUUGACGGGUAGCCGGCCUGAGAGGGUGACCGGCCACAUUAGGACUAAGAUACGGACCAGACUCCUACGGGAGGCAGCAGUGGAGAGUAUUGCACAAUGGGCGGAAGCCUGAUGCAGCAACGCCGCGUGCGGGAUGACGGCCUUCGGGUUGUAAACCGCUUUCGCCUGUGACGAAGCGUGAGUGACGGUAAUGAGUAAAGAAGCACCGGCUAACUACGUG
rnacentral:rRNA from 1 species